rnacentral:rRNA from 1 species
UACGUAGGUGGCAAGCGUUGUCCGGAAUUAUUGGGCGUAAAGGGUGCGUAGGUGGCAUAGAAAGUUUGAUGUGAAAGCUCAGGGCUUAACCCUGAAAUGGCAUUGAAUACUGCUGUGCUGGAGGUUUGGAGGGGGGACUGGAAUUCUUGGUGUAGCAGUGAAAUGCGUAGAUAUCAAGAGGAACACCAGUGGCGAAGGCGAGUCCCUGGACAACACCUGACACUGAGGCACGAAAGCUAGGGGAGCAAACAGG